AGCAAACCAAGAGAACCUAUAAAAGCUACUUAUCUUUGUGUGUUGAUUAAUUGUAGUUAACAUGGCACGUCAGGCAGAUCGUCUUGUUAAGAUUGGGCAGGAGGGUUUUGCAGCCUUUGAAGAGCAAUUCGGGCGGGCCAAGAGGCGGCCACCAGUUAUGCCAGUUAUGAAGGUUCCCACAUAUUACUAUGUUCCUGCAACAGAAGUUAUCGACAGCAAAGAGGCAGCUCAACGCUACAAGGGGAGGGUUUAUAUCGAUUACCCUAAGGGGAAACCAUUUCCGUUUUAAAGACCUAGUGAUUAAUCACUUAGCUUUCUUCUAUGCAUAACCUCCUCCAGUUGUGUUACCUU